CAGUCGCCGCGGGAAUACGAAGGGUGCAAGCGUUAAUCGGAAUUACUGGGCGUAAAGCGUGCGUAGGCGGUGAGUUGAGUCUGCUGUGAAAUCCCCGGGCUCAACCUGGGAAUGGCAGUGGAUACUGGCUCGCUAGAGUGUGUCAGAGGAUGGUGGAAUUCCCGGUGUAGCGGUGAAAUGCGUAGAGAUCGGGAGGAACAUCAGUGGCGAAGGCGGCCAUCUGGGACAACACUGACGCUGAGGCACGAAAGCGUGGGGAGCAAACAGGAUUAGAUACCCCUGUAGUCCCUGUCUCUUAUAC
rnacentral:rRNA from 1 species